rnacentral:rRNA from 1 species
UGUGGAGCCGUCCUUGAAAUACCACCCUUGUAGUGUUGAUGUUCUAACGUCGACCCCUUAUCGGGGUUGCGGACAGUGCCUGGUGGGUAGUUUGACUGGGGCGGUCUCCUCCCAAAGAGUAACGGAGGAGCACGAAGGUGGGCUAAUCACGGUCGGACAUCGUGAGGUUAGUGCAAUGGCAUAAGCCGCUUGACUGCGAGAAUGACGGUUCGAGCAGGUGCGAAAGCAGGUCAUAGUGAUCCGGUGGUUCUGUAUGGAAGGGCCAUCGCUCAACGGAUAAAAGGUACUCCGGGGAUAACAGGCUGAUACCGCCCAAGAGUUCAUAUCGACGGCGGUGUUUGGCACCUCGAUGUCGGCUCAUCACAUCCUGGGGCUGAAGUCGGUCCCAAGGGUAUGGCUGUUCGCCAUUUAAAGUGGUACGCGAGCUGGGUUUAGAACGUCGUGAGACAGUUCGGUCCCUAUCUGCCGUGGGCGUUGGAUGAUUGAGAGGGGCUGCUCCUAGUACGAGAGGACCGGAGUGGACGAACCUCUGGUGUUCGGGUUGUCACGCCAGUGGCAUUGCCCGGUAGCUAAGUUCGGAAUCGAUAACCGCUGAAAGCAUCUAAGCGGGAAGCGAGCCUCAAGAUGAGUCAUCCCUAGACCUUUAAGGUCUCUAAAGGGUUGUUGAAGACUACGACGUAGAUAGGCAGGGUGUGUAAGCGCUGUGAGGCGUUGAGCUAACCUGUACUAAUUGCCCGU